GUCUACGGCCAUACCACCCUGAACAUGCCCAAUCUCGUCUGAUCUCAGAAGCUAAGCAGGGUCCGACCUGGUUAGUACUUGGAUGGGAGAAAUAGUAUUCAAUUGCACAAAAUA
rnacentral:rRNA from 1 species